rnacentral:rRNA from 1 species
AUGGCUCCAGCUUCCGCCUCGCUCCUCCCCGCCGCCGGCGCCAAGCGCCCCUUCGCCGCCGACUCCGCCCCUGACGUUGCUGAGCAAGAGCAGCCACUCGCGCAGGAGGAAGCGGUGACCAAGAAGAACGGCCAGAGCGAGCAGCCGAAGCUGGAGUGCCCGCGGUGUAGCUCCACCGACACCAAGUUCUGCUACUACAACAACUACAGCACGGCGCAGCCGCGCCACUACUGCCGCACCUGCCGCCGCUACUGGACGCAAGGCGGCACGCUGCGCAAGGUCCCCGUCGGUGGCGCCUGCCGCCGCGGCUCCGGCAGCAGCAGCAAGCGCCGCAGGUCCUCCGCCGAGCCCCACACGCCCUCCUCCGACUCGACGCCACCGCCGCAGCCAGAACAGCAGGACACGGUCCCCAUGCUGCCGGUCUUCCCGUUCCUCACCGACGGCGGCCCCGUCUUCCUGCCGCAGUUCGACCUCGGGCUCGGCGGCUUCCCGUGGACGACGCCGGCGGCCACAGACAACCUCUACGACAGUCUCGCGCCGUGGGCUGCCUGCGACGGCGCGCUCGCCCCCACCGGCGCAUGGGAGGGCUUCGGUGGCCUCGAGCUCACCUGGCCACCGUCACCACCCCCGGCGGCCGGCAACUGA